rnacentral:rRNA from 1 species
UACGUAGGGCGCAAGCGUUAUCCGGAAUUAUUGGGCGUAAAGAGCUCGUAGGCGGUUUGUCGCGUCUGCUGUGAAAACCCGAGGCUCAACCUCGGGCCUGCAGUGGGGUACGGGCAGACUAGAGUGGCGGUAGGGGAGAUUGGAAUUCCUGGUGUAGCGGUGGAAUGCGCAGAUAUCAGGAGGAACACCAAUGGCGAAGGCAGAUCUCUGGGCCGUAACUGACGCUGAGGAGCGAAAGCAUGGGGAGCGAACAGG